rnacentral:lncRNA from 1 species
GUAACUAAAUUACUUACUUUGGAGAACCUGUCUUCAUCUCUUCCCGUCUGGAUGACAAAGAAAUAAAAGUCCGAUUCGAGGCGGCGUAGCGUUCUUUCUUUCUCUCGCUCUGCACCUUCGUCUUCAGCUCUUCUUCUUAUCCUACACACCUUCUCUCUCUCUCUCUCUCUCUCUCUCUCUCUCUCUCUCUCUCUCUCUACAACACAUUUUUCACAUACUCUGAGCUUCAACACACACUACUAUCUCGAUCUUCACUAGCUUUUCAACUUGAAAACAAACACACUUUUUCUGUGUUUUAUACUUUGAUUUGAAGUAUCUGAAGUACAACUCUCUUGGUAUAUUGUUGAAUUUAGUUCUCAUUGUAAGUAAUUAGGGUUACAGAUCUGGAAAAUGUGAGAGAAAAUGAGUAUGGCUGGUAAUAAUAACAAUGGAGGUGUAAAUAAUAAUGAUGGUAGAAAUGGAGGAGCUUCAAUUAGUGAUGUUGCUUCAGCUAUUGGUUCUCUAGAUACAAGAUUUCCACGACAAGAACGGGUAAUUUUCAAUUCAUUAAGUUUGCAGAAAUUCCAACUCCAGGUUACAGAAACCAACGCCGCAGAAAUCCCAGAAAAGUUUGCUUUUCUGUUAAUGGAAGUUACUUCUAUGUGUUAAUAUCUGUC